AGAGUUUUGAUCCUGGCUCAGGACGAACGCGGGCGGGCGUGCUAACACAUGCAAGUCGAAAGGGAGUCGUAACAGUUUAGAUUACUAAACAGUUACGGAUUUAGUGGCGAACGGGUGAGUAACGCGUGGGUAACCUACCCUUAAGACCGGAAUAACAGCUGGAAACGGCUGCUAAUGCCGGAUAUAUUUACCUCAAGGCAUCUUGAGGUAAAGGAAGCUGGCCUCUGGACCAAGCUAGCGCUUAAGGAUGGGCCCGCGUCUGAUUAGCUAGUUGGUGGGGUAAAGGCCUACCAAGGCGAUGAUCAGUAGCCGGCCUGAGAGGGUGGUCGGCCACACUGGGACUGAGACACGGCCCAGACUCCUACGGGAGGCAGCAGUGGGGGAUCUUCCGCAAUGGACGAAAGUCUGACGGAGCAACGCCGCGUGUACGAAGAAGGCCUUCGGGUUGUAAAGUACUGUUGUUGGGGAAGAACCGGUUAUGUGAGAAUAUUGCGUAACCCUGACGGUACCCAACGAGGAAGCCCCGGCUAACUACGUGCCAGCAGCCGCGGUAAUACGUAGGGGGCGAGCGUUGUCCGGAAUUACUGGGCGUAAAGGGCGUGUAGGCGGCCCUUCAAGUCGGCUGUGAAAGUCCCCGGCUCAACCGGGGGAUUGCAGUCGAAACUGGGGGGCUUGAGUGCAGGAGAGGGGGGUGGAAUUCCCGGUGGAGCGGUGAUAUGCGUAGAUAUCGGGAGGAACACCGGUGGCGAAGGCGACCUUCUGGCCUGUUACUGACGCUGAGGCGCGAAGGCCGGGGGAGCAAACAGGAUUAGAUACCCUGGUAGUCCCGGCCGUAAACGCUGGGUACUAGGUGUAGGGGGCUUUGAUGCCUUCUGUGCCGUAGUUAACGCAUUAAGUACCCCGCCUGGGGAGUACGAUCGCAAGGUUGAAACUCAAAGGAAUUGACGG
rnacentral:rRNA from 1 species